rnacentral:rRNA from 1 species
CACGUAGGGCGCAAGCGUUGUCCGGAAUCAUUGGGCGUAAAGGGCGUGUAGGCGGUUUGCUAAGUCAUGUGUGAAAGCCCUCGGCUUAACCGAGGAACGACGCAUGAAACUGGCAAGCUAGAGUACCAAAGAGGGGGGUGGAAUUCCCGGUGUAGCGGUGAAAUGCGUAGAGAUUUGGAGGAACACCGAUGGCGAAGGCAGCCUCCUGGGCUAGUACUGACGCUCAUGCACGAAAGCGUGGGGAGCAAACAGG